UCUAAGCUAGAAGCAUCAGAACACUUAGAAAGGUAGUUCUAGCCUUAAAUAUGACUGGGAGAAGUGUCAAGAAAAAGAAAGCAAUAUAUUCCAUACUACACUAGAACACAGCAAACAUUAACAACAACAGUCUAAACAUAGCUGAGGGCAAUUGAGCAAACUAUACACUAGAUGACAGCAAAUGGACCUAUCACGACCCUACAGGAAGGAAGGCCCUACGGAGGAUGGUGCAGACGGCACAAUACAUCACUGGGGGCGAGCGACCUGCCCUCCAGGACAUCUACACCAGCCGGUGUCUGAGGAAGGCCCAAAAGAUAGUCACCCGAGCCGCGGACUGUUCACUCGGUUACCAUCUGGCAAGAGGUAUCGGAGUAUCGGGUCACAGACAAAAAGGCUCAGAGACAGCUCCUACCACCAGGCCAUCAGACUGCUGGUAGGAGGCCAUCAGACUAAACCUAGCUGUCUCUCUGCACAGACUAUCUGCACCUUUGACCUGCACAGACUAUUUGCAUCGAAGAGACUAUCAGCACCGUAGAAAUUAUUUGCACUGACUACACACACACACACAACCCUUACACACAACCUUACACACAAACACCCAUAAACACACACACACACAGUCAAUGCUGCUAUUCUAUUCUAUAAUAUUGAUUCCACAACACACUUAAUAUACUAC
ensembl:lncRNA